UACGUAGGGGGCAAGCGUUGUCCGGAUUUAUUGGGCGUAAAGAGCGUGUAGGCGGCCAGGUAGGUCAGCUGUGAAACUCGAGGCUCAACCUCGAGACGUCGGUUGAAACCAUCUGGCUAGAGUCCGGAAGAGGAGAGUGGAAUUCCGUGGUGUAGCGGUGAAAUGCGCAGAUAUCAGGAAGAACACCCGUGGCGGAAGGCGGCCUCUCUGGGACGGUACUGACGCUGAGACGCGAAGCGUGGGGAGCGAACAGGG
rnacentral:rRNA from 1 species